ACAAUCAAAAUAAGGAAGUGAUCCGAGUUGACUGGGAAGCGCCGGAAACGCAUGACACGAACAUCACUUUCAGGCAUUCAUACACUUUGACUGACCUCCUAAAGUCUACAUUACAAUGCAGAGCUAAAUGAUUGAGAUUAACAUCUGUGUUUGUUUGACAUGUUUCAGAGCCACAUUUGUUGAAAGUUAUCCUACAUUCUGGAAACCAAUAGAUGUGAAUGUUACUUUACCUUCACCCACCACACCAUUACCAACACAAAGUACUACCACAAGUACUACAACGCUAAGUCCUACAACAUCAAGUACUGCCACAAGUACUACAACGCUAAGUCCUACAACAUCAAGUACUCCCACAAGUAUUAUAACAAUAAGUCCUACAACACCAAGUACUACCACAAGUACUACAACGCUAAGUCCUACAACACCAAGUACUACCACAAGUACUACAAUGCUGAAUCCUACAACACUAAAUACUACAAAGCCAAGUACUACACAGGCAAGUACCACAACACCAAGUACUACAAGUACAAGUGAUUAUGGUACUACAAAGCCAAGUACUGCAGAGACAAGCAUGACAACUCAAGUGCCAAUCGUGUUCAACCUAUUGCAGGGAGUAGCCAUUGUUGGGAUGAUUUUUGACAGUUUUUUGGUGGUAGUGGAAACGGUAUGGUAUUUCUAAACUUAUGUCACCCAUUAAAUGCAGUUACACAUAAGUCCUACCCAAAAACGUUGCACCAAAAGAUGCAUUUCUCUCUCACCCCCCCAGGAGCUGUCUAAUAUAUUGUCGACUACCUUCCGCAGCAGACCCUUAUCUUUUCGUCUAAAUAAGGUGACAAAGAUACUGUGCUGUCUGCUUUGUGCGGCAGUUGAAAUAACGGCCGUGGUCUUGUUUUGUUUGGCAGAUUCCAUUAAAGUUACUCUCGUUGCUCUUGUGUGUGUGGCGAUAGUGCUUAAUUUCAUAAAGCUGGUAAUCGUGUGUCUGCCAUUUGGACCCAGUCAUGAACUAAAGGACAUCUGCAACCUUACUGUCAAAGUGUGUUCCAUCAUCCAUGUGAUUUUUACAACUGCAGUUGUUGUUGUUGGUGUGUUGGAGAUUGACAACUGCGGAAAUACCAUAAAAGACUCUUGGCUUUUGAAAGUGGUGGUCGCUCACACAAUAUGGAUUUCCCUGUUUGUACUUUGGGUUUCCGUGAACAGUAUUCAAAGUAAAGCAGUACUGGGGAGAAGCCAAAUAGGGAGACAACGACAGGGUGAUAGAUGGAGGAAACAAAGAAAAAUG